ACUAACAAGGAUUCCCCUAGUAACGGCGAGUGAAGUGGGAAAAGCUCAACUUUGAAAUCUGGCAGCUUUGCUGUCCGAGUUGUAGUCUCGAGAAGCGUUUUCCGCGCUGAAGCAUGCAGGAGUCUGUUGGAAUACAGCGCCAUAGAGGGUGAGAGCCCCGUUCGKGGCAUSCCNUUCAGUGCUUUGUGAUACGCUUUCGAUGAGUCGAGUUGUUUGGGAAUGCAGCUCAAAUUGGGUGGUAAAUUCCAUCUAAAGCUAAAUAUUGGCGGGAGACCGAUAGCAAACAAGUACCGUGAGGGAAAGAUGAAAAGCACUUUGGAAAGAGAGUUAAAAGUACGUGAAAUUGUCGAAAGGGAAACGCUUGAAGUCGGACGUGCAGGGCAACUUGCAGACCAACAUCGGUUUCAGUAGCCGGAUAAAGGUGGAGGGAAGGUAGCAGCUUCGGUUGUGUUAUAGCCCUCUACUGAAUACGGAUGCCGAGACCGAGGACCGCAGCGCAAGCUUAGGAUGUUGGCGGAACGGCUUUAAACGACCCGUCUUGAAACACGGACCAAGGAGUCUAACAUGCUUGCGAGUGUUUGGGUGUCAAACCCAUACGCGUAAUGAAAGUGAAUGGAGGUGGGAUCCGCAAGGAGCACCAUCGACCGGUCCGGACGUUUACUGAAGGAUCUGAGUAAGAGCACGUAUGUUGGGACCCGAAAGAUGGUGAACUAUGCCUGAAUAGGGUGAAGCCAGAGGAAACUCUGGUGGAGGCUCGUAGCGGUUCUGACGUGCAAAUCGAUCGUCAAAUUUGGGUAUAGGGGCGAAAGACUAAUCGAACCAUCUACUGGUGGUUAAGAGGGGUGCGACCCUCCUAGUCGGUGCGAGAGCAUCGGCCACACUGUCCAAUUGCCGGGAGUCCCUUAGAGCUCAAACCUACCAAAUUACUGUCCGCAAGGAUGUAAUGGCCUCUCAUUGUCAGAGGGUAUGGUCAUAAUGGUUUGGGAUUGGGUUAUCGGCAGCCAAGUCCGCGACUUAUAGCGGGUGCAGUUCAACGACUAAAUGUCAGUGGGUCAGCAUUACAAUCUGGUAUGCUGGCUUAAGAUGUAGUCUAUUCCCACGCGAAAGCGUGCUCUAGAGACGAAGGUGCUAAACGGCAGUUAGCGCCCCGAGCUCAGGAGAGGCUUGUAUAAAAGCUAGGUAUUA
rnacentral:rRNA from 1 species